GCCCGCGGCCUAUCAGCUUGUUGGUGGGGURUGGCCUACCAAGGCGACGACGGGUAGCCGGCCUGASASGGYSACCSKCUYACUGGGACUGAGACACGGCCCAKACUCMUACGGGAGGCAGCAGUGGGGAAUAUUGCACAAUGGGCGCAAGCCUGAUGCAGCGACGCCGCGUGAGGGAUGACGGCCUUCGGGUUGUAAACCUCUUUCAGCAGGGACGAAGCGUGAGUGACGGUACCUGCAGAAGAAGCACCGGCCAACUACGUGCCAGCAGCCGCGGUAAU
rnacentral:rRNA from 1 species